rnacentral:lncRNA from 1 species
CGGGGGCUCGCUUUCAUUAUACUCGGUGAAGAAUCUGAGCAUAAAAUCAAUUUGAGGUGUCUCCUGCCUGAUCUCGAAUUGUCUAAGAACUCUGCUAGGAUUGUAGGGACGGGUCCCUCUGAGACCCGAAAGCACUAGAAAAGGCCACUCGCCCUCUCGAAUGGUGUAUUUCCCUGAACGAAGAUAGUUAAUGGACCAUUGCACAUCGU